GAAUGGAGAGAGUGCUUGAAGACUUGUGGCUGGUGGGAGGGUUAGAGUUCACAGAAGGCCAAGGUGAGGUGUGCUAUCCAAAACAUAGAUAGGUCUCUACAAGACGGGAAGUUGCUGACUAUUUUCUCUUACAUAUUCCUACCUUCUUUAAAGAUUUUGGUUCCCCUUCGAAUGGUCUCUGUUCUGACCAGGCAUCCUCCUCUGAGUACAUUCCCACUUGACUUGAGCCUGCCUAGGGCUUUUGUGUGGGCAUCUAAUUCAGGAUCAUUGACAGAAUAAUUGAAACAACCUGUACCCAGAACAACUACACCAAAACAAUUUGUUGUUUUUCGUGGGUAUGACCUUAAAGACACCAUAAUCGUCUCUAUCAUGUAUUAUCAUCUUUAUCAUGUAUUAUCUCCAACCACCUUUUAAUCUUACUUGGUUUACCAAGAUGAUUAGUUGGCUUGAAAUAGCUAUUCCUAACAAUAAAAUAUUACACUGAAUUCUG